rnacentral:Y_RNA from 1 species
GGUUGGUCCGAGUGCAGUGGUGUUUACAAACUAGCUGAUCACAACCAGUUACUGAUGUCAUUGUUCCUGCUCCACUCCCACUGCUUCACUUGCCUUUA